rnacentral:lncRNA from 1 species
CUACAGUGGUCCCAUGAGAUUUGCACCUAUAGUCCAGAGAAAAGACACACUGUAGUGUUUCAAAGGACUGGAGCCUCCCUACUGCAACAUGAAGGCACAUAGUUUUUAUGAGGUGUUAGGAGCUGAGCCCCUUCCUGACGGCAGCAAAUAAGCUGAAAGAUCUCUUUUGUCUGUGAGGACCAAAAUGAGAAGCAUGGACCUGGAGGAGAUUUGGGAAAGGACAUGAAGAAAUAGUACUGGGUCCCAAAUUUGGAUACCUGAGUCUCACCAAAAAAAGCAAUUCAGAGAUCAUUCAGUGACCUGCAAGCACCAGGACAAUGGGCUGGAAGGAAUAAGAGGACAGCAUACAAUUGCUCAGGUCUCUGCAGGUCCUGGGUAAUCACUCCAGUACGAGGGCCCAGGAAUGCUUCAUCAAGACAAGAGGCCAUCUGCCUUCCUUGGCUCAGGGCUCCCUUCUUCUACCUUUAAAGGCAACAACAGCAAAUUGAAUCCUUCUCAUAUUGCAUCUCUCUGGUUAACUACAGCUGGAAACGAUUCUCCACUUUUAAGGACUCCUAUAAUUAAUUUGGACCCUCCCAGACAGUCCG